rnacentral:rRNA from 1 species
CGAGUUGUAAUUUGUAGAAGAUGCUUUGGGUGCGGCCCCGGUCUAAGUUCCUUGGAACAGGACGUCAUAGAGGGUGAGAAUCCCGUAUGUGAUCGGUGGCUUGCGCCCGUGUAAAGCUCUUUCGACGAGUCGGGUUGUUUGGGAAUGCAGCUCUAAAUGGGUGGUAAAUUUCAUCUAAAGCUAAAUACUGGCCAGAGACCGAUAGCGCACAAGUAGAGUGAUCGAAAGAUGAAAAGCACUUUGGAAAGAGAGUUAAACAGUACGUGAAAUUGUUGAAAGGGAAGCGCUUGCAACCAGACUUGCGCGGGGCUGAUCAUCCGGGGUUCUCCCCGGUGCACUCGGCCUCGCUCAGGCCAGCAUCGGUUUCGGUGGCUGGAUAAAGGCCUUGGGAAUGUGGCUCCUCUCGGGGAGUGUUAUAGCCCUCGGUGCAAUGCAGCCUACCGGGACCGAGGACCGCGCUUCGGCUAGGAUGCUGGCGUAAUGGUUGUAAGCGACCCGUCUUGAAACACGGACCAAGGAGUCUAACAUCUAUGCGAGUGUUUGGGUGUCAAACCCAUACGCGUAAUGAAAGUGAACGGAGGUGAGAACCCUUAAGGGUGCAUCAUCGACCGAUCCUGAUGUCUUCGGAUGGAUUUGAGUAAGAGCAUAGCUGUUGGGACCCGAAAGAUGGUGAACUAUGCCUGAAUAGGGUGAAGCCAGAGGAAACUCUGGUGGAGGCUCGCAGCGGUUCUGACGUGCAAAUCGAUCGUCAAAU